CGCCCCUCCCUGCACCCUGAACUUUAAGAUGCCCAGACUCCUUUGGACCCCAAGUUCGGAUUCUGGAAUUCGGGACCGCUGGACCCCUCAGCCCUGGACCCUUCGACCCUGGUCUCGCCUCUCCCGGGACGGUCCGAGCCCUUGGGGAGGAACCAAUUCCAAUGCACAGCUUCCAGGGAUGAGCAAUGGAGGACAGAAUGGAAUAGAGCAGGAACUAAGCAAGGAUGCUAAUGCAAGAUAUAGCCGGUAGGUGGCAGCAGCGUCCGUGAAAUGAGCCCGGUCUCGGGCAGCCUUGCCUAAAUUUCUCCCAAGCCAAGCUGUUUGACUGUGUGCACGUGUAUGAACACAGGUGUACGGAUGUGCAUGUGUAUGGGUCAGGUGUAUGGGUCACAGGUGUACAGAUGGAGGCCUAUUUGUAUGUGGCUGUGAGGUGUGUGUGAACAGCUCCCCGCCGCCCCCACUCCCCAAAGCAGCAGCUCUUAAAUUUUGGGUCUUGGAGCAUCCAAUGAAGAUUUAGGAUCCUGCAGUUAAGUACGAAGUUCGUAUUCCAUUUAAAAAGGCUCUGGAAUCAGCUAUGGACCCGUUGAACAUUCUUCUGGCUGUCCUUCCCAGCUUUGGUGGGAGUUGGCUCUGACUAGAUCUGUCAGGCCUCUGUGAAGUCUUCCUGACUGAGUCUCUCUCUAUGAGCAGAGUGGGGCCAAGAAGCCACCCCAACUCCUACCCCCGGGCAGCCUGGUCGCCCUGGCCCUGCCCACACAGCCUGCCCUGAGGCAUGCUGAGAUCCCAGUCUGCAUCAGGGCUGCCCAUCUGCCUUGGUGCUCAUCACCUUGACAUGAACAGGCCCGAAGUUCUUUUCCAGGAUGGCAGAGCCUUCAGAACCAUCAACUCCUACCCCUCCAUCGUGCAGAGGCCCAGAGAGGGACAGAGACCUGCCCAACACCACAGCAAUGAAGUGGACAAUGAAGAUUCAAAACCACAUUUGCGGUCUCCUCAUUCCGAGAGGAGAUUCUAGAUGAGCCCCGUUACAGGAGUGUAUUUGCACCGGCACACGCCAAGGGACUCCAUCCCCAUGACGCAGAUGGCCCGGGACCUUCUUCCUUUCCAGGCUGUCCCUUCCUCUUGGGUCCCUGAGAGGGCAGUCCUGGUGAGGGCAGGAGAGGACAGCUAAGGCUAAGGAGCUUGGGAAAAGAUGUCCUCUUAAGAACUGCUUUCCAGCACAUGUUGUCCCACCUUCUGAAAUUCAAGGAGAUGGUUAAAAGAGAAAAGCCUUUCUCCGGACCCACCUGCAGCAUUAAGAACCAUGGGUUGGGCUGGGCACGGUGGCUCAUGCCUGUAAUCCUAGCACUUUGGGAGGCCGAGGUGGGUGG
rnacentral:lncRNA from 10 species